AUUUAUAUAGUAUAUUUAAUAUAUUUGACUUCCAAUCAAAAGAACUAAUUUUUAGUAUAAAUA
rnacentral:tRNA from 1 species